AACGAACGCUGGCGGCAUGCCUAACACAUGCGAGUCGAACGAGACCUUCGGGUCUAGUGGCGCACGGGUGCGUAACGCGUGGGAACCUGCCCUUAGGUUCGGAAUAACUCCCCGAAAGGGGGGCUAAUACCGGAUAAUGUCUUCGGACCAAAGAUUUAUCGCCUUUGGAUGGGCCCGCGUUGGAUUAGCUAGUUGGUAGGGUAAAAGCCUACCAAGGCGACGAUCCAUAGCUGGUCUGAGAGGAUGAUCAGCCACACUGGGACUGAGACACGGCCCAGACUCCUACGGGAGGCAGCAGUGGGGAAUAUUGGACAAUGGGCGAAAGCCUGAUCCAGCAAUGCCGCGUGAGUGAUGAAGGCCUUAGGGUUGUAAAGCUCUUUUACCCGGGAUGAUAAUGACAGUACCGGGAGAAUAAGCUCCGGCUAACUCCGUG
rnacentral:rRNA from 1 species